rnacentral:rRNA from 1 species
GACGUAGGGCGCGAGCGUUGUCCGGAUUUAUUGGGCGUAAAGAGCUCGUAGGCGGCUUGUCGCGUCGAAUGUGAAAACUCGGGGCUCAACCCCGCGCUUGCAUUCGAUACGGGCAGGCUCGAGUUCGGUAGGGGAGACUGGAAUUCCUGGUGUAGCGGUGAAAUGCGCAGAUAUCAGGAGGAACACCGGUGGCGAAGGCGGGUCUCUGGGCCGAUACUGACGCUGAGGAGCGACAGCGUGGGGAGCAAACAGG